AUUUUACUCAACUGCGUCACCCACUCCAGUCAACAGAUGGCGGUCUGGGAAUUUAAGGCGAUGCUGUUGGUGUGACGUAUAAUCUAGUAGACGGAACGCUUCUCUCAACAGCAGGAACACUUAAUCAGCCACCUCGGAGAGAGACGGGACUAUCUUGGAUCCUCUGGGGAGCCUCAACAACAUCAUGAAGCUGAUGAGGCAGAGAAGAGUCUCUUCAGAUCAGAACACCUCAAGAAACACCAGCAGAGACCCACAGGGAAGAAAUCUUUCUGCAAAUCUUCAUCGGAACCUAAAAUACACCAGCGAGUACACACAGGAGAGAAAGCUCACCACUGUUGUGGGAAGAGUUACUCAAGACCAGAUGCACUGAAAGUACACCUGAGAGAAACAUUUUGGCUGUGAUCAAUGUGGGUUGUUGAUUGACAAAGUCUUGAAAAAUGUAAUAGAAUUGAAUAAGCCACAUUUUGGCUAUGAUAAAAG
rnacentral:lncRNA from 1 species